CCAUGCGNNUCCUGGUGUUUCGGCACCGGCGGACGGCUCAUUAACACGUGGACAACCUACCCUCGGGAGGGGGAUAACCCCGGGAAACUGGGAAUAAACCCCCAUAGGUCAUAGAUGCUGGAAGGCGCUAUGACCGAAAUUCUGCAAGGAGCCCGAGGAUGGGUCUGCGGCCUAUCAGGUUGUAGUGGGGGUAACGGCCCCACUAGCCUACGACGGGUACGGGCCCUGAGAGGGGGAGCCCGGAGAUGGACUCUGAGACACGAGUCCAGGCCCUACGGGGCGCAGCAGGCGCGGAAACUCCGCAAUGCUCGAAAGAGCGACGGGGGGACUCCGAGUGCCUACGCUUUGCGUAGGCUUUUCCCGAGCCUAAAAAGUUCGGGGAAUAAGGGCUGGGUAANACGGGUGCCAUCCGUGAUGGCAGUCAAAAAUUUGGCUUGCCGUUGCAAGGCAUAAGCCGCCGCGGUAUUACCCGCAGCUCGAGUGGUGGCCCUUUUNUUGGCCUAANCGUCCGUACCGGUCUGGNAAUGCUGGGUAAUCGUCUGGUCACCANACGCUCCAGGUAACUGCCAACUNGGACG
rnacentral:rRNA from 1 species